GAGAGCCGAAUGAAUCGAAAGCUCCAUUUUCGGUUUGGGAAGAGAUCGUGAAUUCAUGAAAUUUAUGAAUAGAUAAUCUACUUUCAAU
rnacentral:ncRNA from 1 species